UCCGUGGCUCGAAAAUAAACUGAAACCUUUUUUUGCAGGAGGGUGCGUAUGAGGAUCAGAUUGAAGGGAUGACCAGAAGGAGCAAUGGCGGGAGUCUGGACAACGGCCGGACUUUCACCUCCAGGGGCGCACAGGGGACCCACACACCAAAUAUUGUCUCGCUCAGUAAUUGAAAUCUCUCGCGGCGCGGCCGCCAGGGUAAGGAAAGGUGCGGAGAGGGUGACGGAGGAAGUGCGCCCGCCCGCUUUGAUUCCCCGAGAUUCGGCAGCGGAGAAACCAGAAGCUAGGUGGGCAGCGGAGGCGGCGGCGGCUGUUCUCCCGGCUGUGCGCGGGGCUCCCAGCCCUUCCCAGCCACGUGACUCCCGGGGACGCGCAGAUUGGGGCUGGAGCGGGGGUCACAUGUUUCCUCUGUUUCACACUCAGUCUUCUCCUCCACUCCCCGCCCCCCCAUUCUUACUCUCCCCUGCUACCCUCUCUCCUCCUCUCCCCCUCUCUUCAGUUCUUUGGGCAUCUCCACCCCUCCAUCAAUUGUCAAUGUUCCUCGACCGCAAUCAAUCAGUUAUUUGUCAGCUCUUGUCAAUCCGCCCGUGAUUUAUGUCAGCUUUUGUUGCUGAUUACAAGGCGGGUGCGACUUGAAGGAAAAAGAGUGAGGAAGAGAGAGAUGGAGAGUAAGGAAGAGACCAAGGGGGAACCAGCGGAGGGGGAAAGAGGAGCAGCCUCCUGGGAUGGGGUGGGGGGUGGCUCUAAGAAAAAGAAUGAAAGAGAGGAGAAGAGGCUUUCGGUGUCAGGAAAAUGAAUAGUGAGAGUAAAGCGCGCAGGUGUGCCCAGGGCGCUGAGAGGGCUGCUCAGGCCUGAGGUGUGCGCCUCUCCCCUUACACCUUUCUACUUCUGGGACUUCGGUCCUUUGGGGCCGCGGUGGGAGGAGCUGCCCCGGGUACCUAAGACGGGCGGCGGCGACGUCUAAGAUGGGAAAUAUUUUUGUCCCCAGGAUAGUCCCUCGGGAGCAUGAGGAUGUCAGGCUGCCAGCCUGCCGCGGACCCCACCCUUCGUAGUGCCCCGACCCCAAACACAGACUUCAUUCUGACAGGCACACCACAACGCAGUUUUGAGUCCUGAAGGUCAAUGGUGGGGUACCUCCUCCCCGACUUAAGCCUUUGACCUCCCUUCGGAUCGCGGCUAGGGCUGAGAGGCUGCGAAGAGGCCUGGCCAUGGGUGUACGGUGGAGACAUCUCCAGCGGAGUCAGAUCCCCUCUCCAAACCUCUCCGACCCUGCUGUAUCCCCGCAGGCUGGGUAGCCGGGGUUACUCUGUGCUGCUCACUCGAAUUCAUGGGAACGCCAAGCCGGGACUGACCUGCGUGGAGAAAGCAGAGGGAAAGAAGAGAGAGCGGGAGGGGGCGGCUGCCUGUAGGCACUUGGGUCUUCCAGGGAAGCGGAGCGGGACUGCCGCGUUCCCCUCGAUUUGCACCGUCACUCUGGCGGGUUGGAAGGAAGAGGGGAGGCGCUGUGCCUGCCUCUGUGUACCUGAAGCUGGGUGCACAAGUGUGUACGGACGUCUGCGCCGCUGUGUGAGUUGUCAGGGCUUUGGCAGCGUCCGGAGCGAGUUCGGAGGUCGCCUCCAGAAACUCGCAGAAACGGGAAGGGGGCAAGAGGAGGACACAACCCCUUCCUCGGAAGGACUUGGACGACUUUGAAUUUCCCCUCCCCCACUUUUCCGCCCCAGCUCUUCUUUUGUUGUCAAGUCCUUUGAUAAAUGGUAGGGCAGGGAGCGCGGGGAGCCAGGAGCCAGUCUGUACCCGCGCGGGGGGCAGGGCCGGGUCUGGCGACCCGGUUUCCUUCGGCGCUGAGCCCCGUACCGCGGGGGCCGAGUCUGGGACCUGCCCUCCGCAGGCUCGCCCUCUCCUCUCUCACCACCCCGUGCCCUCCCCCCGCCUUUUUUGUCUCUCUUCCACUCCACACAGGUUGGUAAACUUGAUGAGAUUGUAACUUGACUAAAAAUAAUUUGGAGAAGAGGGAAGUGAGUAUUUUGGGCUGCUCUUCGUCGGUGUGCGUGCCUGCGUGUGUAUAGGUGUUAAGAACACACCUGCGGUCAAGGGGAUUUGGUAUCUGCCUGUGCGGAGGUGAGGAAGAAUCGACGGGAUUUCUCUGCGGUUUGCGCUGCCUGUAUCCGAAUAAAUUGAGCUUGCAGGCAUCCGGCAGGAAACGGCUCCCGGUUGGAGAGUACGCCGACUCAUCGGCCCAGUACGGGACGCGAGGUGGCUCCUGGUGAUUGUGUGGCUGUAGGUCCGGCCUCCAAAGGAAGCUGGACUAUCAGCGCCCUCAGGCCGGGAGCGGCCCCUGGCUGCCCGGCAGUGCCCGGCAGCCCCCACUUCUGGUGGUGCUUCGGGAACCUGCCCCGCCGAGUCCGCCCGCGGCGAAAACUGAAAGCAAAUUCCGCGGCAAAUGAAGCCCAAACUUUCUUCGACGCAACUUUGCCACAGUGAUUCGGUGGCGACUUAGGACGGCGCGCUGGUCUGUGAGCGUGCAAGGUGGGGGUGGUGGGCGAAGAAAGCUUGGGGCGGCCGAGCCUGGCCCUAGACGAAACACUAGGGAAGGCGCCUCCUCUUCCUUACUUCUCGCCAACUCCUCGGCCCCAGUCCGUAAAAAUAGUUUCCAAUGUGUGGCGGACGCCCAGGAUGUGUUUGUGGGGAUCGCACCAGAGAGAAGGAAGCUUUGUGAAAGUUGCAGAAAGAGCUUUGCCCAGAAGCGUCCGCCCUGCAGGGCUCAAGAAAGCUGAGGACUAGCUCGCCUCCCCGGGGGUGGAAUGCCUAGAAAUCGGCUUGGGGAGACCCCAGCCCAGUCCUCUCCCCUCACCUCGAACUCGCGCAUAAAUAACCUUCCGCAGUCUGCGCUGGAAACUCACAAGCGCGGCGCCGCGGUUGGCUGGCGAGGCUGGGACGCUGAGCCGGCCCGCAAGGCCGCUUCUAGGCGCGCUCAGUCCCAGCCCCUAAGAGAAGCUUGCACCGAGGUGAGAGAAGAGUGUGCUUUCAGCUCCUGCUCGGCUGUGUAGACCAUCACCGCCGAACUCCCAACUCCCUGGAGCUGGCGCUUCCCCCCUGGGAGCGGCAGACUUGGGCGGCUGGCUAGGGCGCAAAGUGCGCGCGCGGGCCGGCGCGGGGAUGGGGGGCGGCUGCCGGUCUCUCCGCGGGGCCUGUCGCCGGGCCGGCCGCGGCGGGUGAGUGAUGAGGGCAGAGAAGGGCGCCCAUAAAUCGCGGGUGUCAGGGCGAAAAACUCUCUUUAUUGUCUGCGUGAUGGAUGGGCCCGGGGACGAGACACCAAAUACUUCGUAUCGCCUUUAAAUGGGAACACAUUUUCCGCGGCCAUAAUUCAUGUUUUUUAAAUAGAAAGUUUGAAAUGUUGCCUAUAUUUCACCGGCCCUGACAUAUUUAUGAAUCGCUCCCUGCAUGCAAAUAUCAUUAUUUAAAGCGCCGGGGAGAGCUCGGGGGGAGGGGAGGAGGCAUGGCCCCCGUGGCGUGGGGGUGGUGAACGGGGGAAAUGCGGAUGGAGGAGGGGGUGCAUCUCCCUAAAGUGCGGACAAUGAGGCGCGGGGGAAAUCCUUAUACGGAAGCCGAGCGCACUGGGGGAUCCACUCCCGUCGCUGGACCGAGCACUGCCGCUUCGGGAAGUUUGAGCCGUUUGGGUCCGUGGACAGGCCCCCGUCCCCUGCGGGAAGACCCGGGGGGCCUUUUGCGUCCCUCUCCGAGGCCCUGAUCCGAGUCAAAGACACCUUUCCAAGAAAAAAAAAAUGUUCUUUUUUUUUAAAUAAAAGAAUUUAACAAACGCAAAUAACAGCAGCAAUCCAACACGUUUCGUGUUCUUUGCAUUUGCAUUGAUUUUAUUGAUUUUCAUUCUGCCAACCUCAGACUGUGCGCGUCCGGGAGGAGCACUGUCAGACCCCAGUCACUGCGGAGAGUGGGUGGGGGAUAACCGUCCGGAGCGGCAGCCCGGACUCAACCAACUCACCACCUCCCAGGCACAACAGAGCCUGCGCAAGACGCGGGGACACAAAUGAUCCGGCUCCCAAGCUCUGGGGGCUUCAGUCCCGCCCCCUCUGCUUCCCCAGUGCAAUGCAGCGCUCCUAGGGUCCGCGUCCAUCCACCCCGAGCCCCACUGUGAAUACAAUCGCUUUGGAAAAAAGCUGGGCACGUGCCGUCAGCCUCUCCCUUGCCCGUCCAGCCAGGGAGGCACCUACACCUUCGUCCUCAGUAGCCGAUUCUUUACCUGUGCGGUUCCCUGCGGCGCCUGCGGCCGCGCUGGUAACAGAGGAAUGAAAAGGAGGACGGGGGAGUGAGAGGGACAGAGCACAGCCCGAGACAGCCAGAUACGCAGACCCGGGUCCUCCUCUUCCGACCAAGCGUUGGGGGCCCUAACCGAACUCCCUCUAGGAGCCGAAUUGCGCUGGGGAGAACCGGCCGGGGGAC